CCUACGGGAGGCUGCAGUGGGGGAUAUUGCACAAUGGGGGGAACCCUGAUGCAGCGACGCCGCGUGGGUGAAGAAGCGCCUCGGCGCGUAAAGCUCUGUCAGCAGGGAAGAAAAUGACGGUACCUGAAGAAGAAGCCACGGAGAACUACGUGCCAGCAGCCGCGGUAAUACGUAGGGGGCACGCGUUAACCGGAUUUACUGGGUGUAAAGGGGGCGCAGACGGCGAUGCAAGCCAGGUGUGAAAGCCCGGGGCCCAACCCGGGGACUGCUUUUGGAACUGGGUGGCUGGAGUGCAGGAGGGGGAGGCGGAAUUCCUGGUGUAGCGGUGAAAUGCGUAGAUAUCAGGAGGAACACCGGUGGCGAAGGCGGCCUGCUGGACCUCAACUGACGCUGAGGCCCGAAAGCGUGGGGAGCAAACAGGAUUAGAUACCCUAGUAGUC
rnacentral:rRNA from 1 species